GGGGGAUGUCUGUGGCCUCUCCGCCCACACUUCCUCCACCCACCGCCCGCAGCGCCCCAGAAGGACCUAUUACUCGUUUGGCUUCUGAAGGCCGAAGCCAGGCUCUGGCGGGGAUAGAACCCUGAAGGGCCUGCGCCAGCUCCAACUUAGGGCCCUGUGCGUCGUUGCGACUGCCGCUACCACCCCAUCACGCGGCACCCCCGCCCCAACUCCGCCCGGGUCUCUGAAGAGGCAAUAGGCCUUUCAUCUCCGGGGAAAGUCUCACCUUGGCCCUCAGACACCCGCCAAGAGGGGUCGGAAGGACAGAAUUAGCAUACAGAAGAGGGGCUAGAGCACUUUGCAGGCUCUGGCCCCAGGAAUCCUUGACAGGAAGCGUGGGGUUGCUGCCCAGCCUCCCACGCAGUGUAAUAUAUUGAAGCCGGGCCCCUUUGAGGGAAUGCGACUUCCUUGGGCCGAGGGGGAAAGGGCAGUGCCUGAUGGCUGAGAAGAAUCGCAGAGGACUAGAAAAGGUUUGAGUCUGAAAUUAUCUGGCACAGAGGAUUAGAGCUCAGAAAUAAGUGAUUGCGAAACAGUUCAACUUCCCUGUUAAUGACAACAACAACAACAGCAACACGCUUAUUAAUUCCUAGCUGGAGCAUCAAGCUUAUGAAGAUUUCCAAGUAAGACUUUAUUGUUGACCCUUGUUGAAGAGAACUCUACUUGGCUUCUUUCCUGGCUUUCCUAAAUUGUUCACAUACAAGAUAAACUACCGUCAUUCAGACUUACAGAAGUGAGAAGACAAGCUGAACCAAAUGUAAAAUGGUAGCAAUUUACAGAUGUCAGAACUAACAUGUGGAUGAACUUAGAGAUGGAGAAGAAAGCUGGGCUUUUCCAAAGAGUGGAUCUAUCUGAACUGGAUAGCACUAUUGAACUUUGUUGCAUAUUUUGUGGUAGCUCUAAAACUCCUCUGCUUGCUUACAUACAACCAGACACCAGUGCCUUCUGAAGCUAAUCCAGGCCAUUUUUAUAACCUAAUGCAGUAGCACUUUGCAAUUAGAUGAAGAAGAUCGGUGGGAUUUCUUUCUGUGGUGAUUAAAAUGUGUCAGGGGAAGAAAUCAAGACAAUACUCCAAGUGAAAAAUAUAAAGUCAGUUAUUUCUUUAAUAUUUUGUGUUAUAGUAAUCAUUUUUAUAUUUUGAGCAUACUUUUUCUUGUCUACUUAAAUACUCAAAAUUAAUUAUAAAAUGUAAAUGUAAGCACAAUGAGAUACCAUCUCAUCCCAGUUAAAAUGGCUUUUAUCAAAAAGAUAGGGAAUAAUGAAUACUGGUGGAAGGAUGUGGAGAAUGGGGAACCCUCGUACACUGUCAGUGAGAAUGUAAAUUAGUACAGCCACUAUGGAAAACUGUAUGGAAGUGCCUCCGAAAACAAAGUAGAACUACCAUGUGAUCCAGCAAUUACACUAGUGGGUAUAUAUUCAAAAGAAAGGAAAUCAACAUAUCAAAG
rnacentral:lncRNA from 1 species